rnacentral:rRNA from 1 species
UACAGAGGGGGCAAGCGUUGUUCGGAAUUACUGGGCGUAAAGGGCGCGUAGGCGGCCUUCUAAGUCGAACGUGAAAUCCCCGGGCUCAACCCGGGAACUGCGUCCGAUACUGGAAGGCUUGAAUCCGGGAGAGGGAUGCGGAAUUCCAGGUGUAGCGGUGAAAUGCGUAGAUAUCUGGAGGACCACCGGUGGCGAAGGCGGCAUCCUGGACCGGCAUUGACGCUGAGGCGCGAAAGCCAGGGGAGCAAACGGG